rnacentral:rRNA from 1 species
UACGUAGGGUGCAAGCGUUGUCCGGAAUUAUUGGGCGUAAAGAGCUCGUAGGCGGUCUGUCGCGUCGGCUGUGAAAUCCCGAGGCUCAACCUCGGGUCUGCAGUCGAUACGGGCAAACUUGAGUGUUGCAGGGGAGACUGGAAUUCCUGGUGUAGCGGUGAAAAUGCGCAGAUAUCAGGAGGAACACCGGUGGCGAAGGCGGGUCUCUGGAACGGUACUGACGCUGAGACGCGAAAGCGUGGGGAGCGAACAGG